UAAUACGGAGGGUGCGAGCGUUGUCCGGAAUCACUGGGCGUAAAGGGCGCGUAGGCGGCCGCGUAAGCGUGUGGUGAAAGCUCGGGGCUCAACCCCGAGUCGGCCAUGCGAACUGUGCGGCUCGAGCCCACUAGAGGCAGGCGGAAUUCCGGGUGUAGCGGUGGAAUGCGUAGAGAUCCGGAAGAACACCGGUGGCGAAGGCGGCCUGCUGGGGUGGAGCUGACGCUGAGGCGCGACAGCGUGGGGAGCAAACAGGAUUAGAUACCCUGGUAGUCCACGCCGUAAACGAUGGGCACUAGGUGCUCGGGGGAGCGACCCUCCGGGUGCCGGCGCUAACGCAUUAAGUGCCCCGCCUGGGGAGUACGGCCGCAAGGCUG
rnacentral:rRNA from 1 species